GUGGGGAAUAUUGGACAAUGGGGGGAACCCUGAUCCAGCCAUGCCGCGUGUGUGAAGAAGGCCUUUUGGUUGUAAAGCACUUUAAGCGAGGAGGAGGCUACCGAGAUUAAUACUCUUGGAUAGUGGACGUUACUCGCAGAAUAAGCACCGGCUAAAUCUGUGCCAGCAGCCGCGGUAAUACAGAGGGUGCAAGCGUUAAUCGGAUUUACUGGGCGUAAAGCGCGCGUAGGUGGCCAAUUAAGUCAAAUGUGAAAUCCCCGAGCUUAACUUGGGAAUUGCAUUCGAUACUGGUUGGCUAGAGUAUGGGAGAGGAUGGUAGAAUUCCAGGUGUAGCGGUGAAAUGCGUAGAGAUCUGGAGGAAUACCGAUGGCGAAGGCAGCCAUCUGGCCUAAUACUGACACUGAGGUGCGAAAGCAUGGGGAGCAAACAGGAUUAGAUACCCUGGUAGUCC
rnacentral:rRNA from 1 species